AAGGCAGCACCUGGGGGGUCUCCACCAUGGCCUGGUCUCUGCUCUUCCUCAUUCUCCUGACUCAGGGCUCAGGUUCCUGGGCCCAGGCUCCCCUGACUCAGCCUCCCUCAGUGUCCGGGACUCUGGGACAGUCAGUCACCAUCUCCUGUGCUGGAAGCAGCAGUGAUGUUGGGCAUGCUACUCAUGUCUCUUGGUUCCAACAACAACCAGGCAUGACCCCCAAAAGCCUGAUUUAUGGAGUCAGCAGUAGGCCCUCAGGGAUCCCUGAUCGCUUCUCUGGCUCCAAGUCCAGUACCACGGCCUCACUGACCAUCUCUGGACUCCAGCCUGAGGAUGAGGCUGAUUAUUACUGUUGCUCCUAUACAACCAGUAGCACUCUCCACAGUGAUGCAAGUUCAUGGGGGAAGCGAGACCAAAACCUGCCCCGCACUCGCCGGUUCCCUCCUCUCUUUGAAGGCGCUUCCCCACCCUGA